AACGAACGCUGGCGGCAUGCCUAACACAUGCAAGUCGAACGAGACCUUCGGGUCUAGUGGCGCACGGGUGCGUAACGCGUGGGAAUCUGCCCUUAGGUUCGGAAUAACAGUUAGAAAUGACUGCUAAUACCGGAUAAUGACUUCGGUCCAAAGAUUUAUCGCCAUUAGAGCGGCCCGCGUUAGAUUAGCUAGUUGGUGAG
rnacentral:rRNA from 1 species